rnacentral:rRNA from 1 species
GACGAACGCUGGCGGCGUGCUUAACACAUGCAAGUCGAACGAUGAUCCGGUUUCGGCCGGUGAUUAGUGGCGAACGGGUGAGUAACACGUGGGUAAUCUGCCCUGCACUCUGGGAUAAGCUCGGGAAACUGGGUCUAAUACCGGAUAGGACCUGUGGUCGCAUGGCCAUGGGUGGAAAGCUUUUGCGGUGUGGGAUGGGCCCGCGGCCUAUCAGCUUGUUGGUGGGGUAGUGGCCUACCAAGGCGACGACGGGUAGCCGGCCUGAGAGGGUGACCGGCCACACUGGGACUGAGACACGGCCCAGACUCCUACGGGAGGCAGCAGUGGGGAAUAUUGCACAAUGGGCGGAAGCCUGAUGCAGCGACGCCGCGUGAGGGAUGACGGCCUUCGGGUUGUAAACCUCUUUCAGCAGGGAAGAAGCGCAAGUGACGGUACCUGCAGAAGAAGCACCGGCUAACUACGUGCCAGCCGCCGCCGUAAAAC